AGAGUAACACAGAAGAAGGUAUUGAAAAGAGUUACACAGAAGAAGGUAUUGAAAAGAGUAACACAAAAGAAGGUAUUGAAAAGAGUAACACAGAAGAAGGUAUUGAAAAGAGUUACACAGAAGAAGGUAUUGAAAAGAGUAACACAGAAGAAGGUAUUGAAAAGAGUUACACAGAAGAAGGUAUUGAAAAGAGUAACACAGAAGAAGGUAUUGAAAAGAGUUACACAGAAGAAGGUAUUGAAAAGAGUUACACAGAAGAAGGAAUUUGAAAAGAGUAACACAGAAGAAGGUAUUGAAAAGAGUUACACAGAAGAAGGUAUUGAAAAGAGUUACACAGAAGAAGGAAUUUGAAAAGAGUAACACAGAAGAAGGUAUUGAAAAGAGUUACACAGAAGAAGGUAUUGAAAAGAGUUACACAGAAGAAGGUAUUGAAAAGAGUAACACAGAAGAAGGUAUUGAAAAGAGUAACACAGAAGAAGGUAUUGAAAAGAGUAACACAGAAGAAGGUAUUGAAAGA